UGGGGAAUUUUGGACAAUGGGCGCAAGCCUGAUCCAGCCAUGCCGCGUGAGUGAAGAAGGCCUUCGGGUUGUAAAGCUCUUUCGGCCGGGAGAAAUCGUGGUCUCUAACAUAGGCCAUGGAUGACGGUACCGGACUAAGAAGCACCGGCUAACUAC
rnacentral:rRNA from 1 species